GACGAACGCUGGCGGCGUGCCUAAUACAUGCAAGUUGAGCGAUGAAGCUUGGUGCUUGCCCCAAUUUGAAGAGCAGCGAACGGGUGAGUAACGCGUGGGGAAUCUGCCUUUGAGCGGGGGACAACAUUUGGAAACGAAUGCUAAUACCGCAUAACAUCUUUAAACAUAAGUUUUAAUUUUGAAAGAUGCAAUUGCAUCACUCAAAGAUGAUCCCGCGUUGUAUUAGCUAGUUGGUUAGGUAAAGGCGCACCAAGGCGAUGAUACAUAGCCGACCUGAGAGGGGGGACGGCCACAUUGGGACUGAAGACAGGGCCAAACCCCUUCGGGAGGGAGGAGGAGGGGAUCUUCGGGAAAAGACGGAAGGCUGAACGGGCAAAGCCGGGGGGGGGAAGGAGGGUGUCGGGUCGGAAAAACCCGGUGGUAGGGAAGAAAGUAGGUGGGAGUGGAAAGCGCAUGAAGUGACGGUACCUACCCAGAAAGGGACGGCUAACUACGUG
rnacentral:rRNA from 1 species